rnacentral:lncRNA from 1 species
UGACUAUGUGAAUCUCACAAAGAACAAGGAUGGGAGUCACGGCUCUAAAAGUAAUGCUGUACGGGAAAUAUGACAUCCAAAGACACGUGGCAGGCACAGGCAAAAUGCCAGUGACGAUGCAGAGCAGUCACCCUGAUCCCACCAGCUGCCUUGUUGAAGAGGAGAUGCCAGACAAUGGAACAUCCACUCCUACGAGAGAGUCUGAAAGACUAAGGUGUGUUGGAGUUGCUGGCUACGUUGCUGAAAAAUAAUACCAUGAACAUCAACCAAGAACUAGACAGCAAUUCCGCAAUGCUUGGGGUCCAGCAACAGCACAAAGGAGCGAAGGAUGGAAACCCCCAAAGCUCCUACUUCAGAGGACAUUCCCACCAUGUAGCAAGUGAGUCACAGUGAAGCAAAAGCCAUCUGUUCAUCUGGACACAGAUACCGCUUGUCAGUUAGCAGGAAACGUUUCCACUGAAGAAUCUCUCUGCAAUGUUAAUCUCCCUGCGUAGACAAACUUCCAGGGUUUCAGGUCUUCUAGCCUGUAAAGUGGGAAUGCUGCAGCUUCCUUUCACCCUGCUUUGUCUGUCUUAUCUUUUUUGAAAACAGGCUUGGUCAGGCAAGCGCUUGCCUGUGUGGAUGUACGUAUCUUUACAGCUCGGCUAGUACCAAGAGGUCUCCAAGUCAACUCAUGAGUCCAGCAGUUCUCAUCGAAGCAUGAUUCUCACUCAGACGCAGUGACACAGAGGACCAGCGGCAGUGAGGCAGCAGCACCUUCCCACUCCUCCUCUCCAUUCCCACCGCCACGGGACUGAGCCAAGCUGGGACCCCUCUUAAUCCUGGGAAAUUGCCAUGUUACAUCCUUCCCCCCUAGAGACAUCCCUGCCAUCAGCUAUUGAUGAAACUGGGAAAUGCAGUCAUAAUUAAUAUGUUGUAUUUUGAAAUAGUGGCGGAAAUACUCUCUGUAAAGACAGCGAUCAGCCCUAAUUAAAGUCAUGUUUAACUAAUCUUUUUGGGAUGGGGACUGUUAUUUAAUGUGUGUUCUUGCUACAUGUAGCCCAAUGGGAUUCAGUAUUGCUGUUGCACUAGGUGUCAUCACAAUAUAAACAAUGAAUAACUACAGAAAUAUAAAUUUGGGGCUUUUUUCCUAGUACAACUGCUUCUGUAUGAACCGCAUUUCUAUUUGCUUGACUAUUGCAUAGUUUGGGUUAUCACUGUCUAAAUGUUUAGCAACUCCUAUGUGCAGGAUGAGUAGUUAAUUCUUUUCAUGUGUGUAAUGUUUUGGAUCAAAUUAUUUCCACAUUCAUUUUGGUGGAUUAGGUUUCAGGUGGACAAGACCCAAAAAAUCAGAUAAGUUCUUAAAGACCCUGCUGUACCGAAGACAUUCUUAACAAUGGCAUUUCGAAAGAAUGAGAAAGCACUUCUUCUAUUAAAAUUAGAUUUACAACAAUUAUCUCAAAGGGCCAUCAGCAUUCUAGAAAAGUGUGAUUUCAUACUAAAUCAGAUGAUACCAAAAAGAUCAGCUGGUUAAAAAUUUUCUACAUCAAGUUCAAACAACAAGGCAAUGUAUUUGUUUCAAAGAACACAUUUGAUUUCUCUGAAAUCUGUGAUUUCCAAAUGAAUGCCAAGUGAGGUUUAAAAAAAUCCCCACAUGAAUAAAUUUCAUAAACUGCAAGAGAAUGGCA